rnacentral:rRNA from 1 species
CCUACGGGCGGCAGCAGUGGGGAAUAUUGGGCAAUGGGCGCAAGCCUGAUGCAGCAACGCCGCGUGAAGGAAGAAGGCUUUCGGGUUGUAAACUUCUUUUCUCAGGGACGAAACAAGUGACGGUACCUGAAUAAUAAGCCCCGGCUAACUACGUGCCAGCAGCCGCGGUAAUACGUAGGUGGCAAGCGUUAUCCGGAUUUACUGGGUGUAAAGGGCGUGUAGGCGGGACUGCAAGUCAGAUGUGAAAACCAUGGGCUCAACCUAUGGCCUGCAUUUGAAACUGUAGUUCUUGAGUACUGGAGAGGAAGACGGAAUUCCUAGUGUAGCGGUGAAAUGCGUAGAUAUUAGGAGGAACACCAGUGGCGAAGGCGGUCUGCUGGACAGAAACUGACGCUGAGGCGCGAAAGCGUGGGGAGCAAACAGGAUUAGAUACCCCAGUAGUC